rnacentral:rRNA from 1 species
GACGAACGCUGGCGGCGUGCUUAACACAUGCAAGUCGAGCGGUAAGGCCCUUUCGGGGGUACACGAGCGGCGAACGGGUGAGUAACACGUGGGUGACCUGCCCUCAGCUCUGGGAUAAGCCUGGGAAACUGGGUCUAAUACCGGAUAUGACUCCAUGACGCAUGUUGUGGGGUGGAAAGCCUUGUGCGGCUGAGGAUGGGCCCGCGGCCUAUCAGCUUGUUGGUGGGGUGANGGCCUACCAAGGCGACGACGGGUAGCCGGCCUGAGAGGGCGACCGGCCACACUGGGACUGAGACACGGCCCAGACUCCUACGGGAGGCAGCAGUGGGGGAUCUUGCGCAAUGGGCGAAAGCCUGACGCAGCGACGCCGCGUGAGGGAUGACGGCCU